rnacentral:rRNA from 1 species
UACGUAGGGUGCGAGCGUUGUCCGGAAUUAUUGGGCGUAAAGAGCUCGUAGGCGGUUUGUCGCGUCGUCCGUGAAAACUCGACAGCUUAACUGUGAGCUUGCGGUCGAUACGGGCAGGCUAGAGUUCGGUAGGGGGAGACUGGAAUUCCUGGUGUAGCGGUGAAAUGCGCAGAUAUCAGGAGGAACACCGGUGGCGAAGGCGGCUCACUGGCUCGUAACUGACGCUCAGGCGCGACAGCGUGGGGGAUCAAACAGG